rnacentral:misc_RNA from 1 species
GACAGUCUCUACGGAGACUG